rnacentral:ribozyme from 16 species
ACCUAUGCAUGUUACAUGUUUUCCAGUUACUUUUAUUUAUUCAUUUAUUUCUUUUAUUGUCAGACUCCUUUUU